rnacentral:lncRNA from 1 species
ACAUUGGUUACUGGUACAUUAUAAUGUGUAAUAGAGUGGUUUAAAUUUGUAUUAUGUUUAUUCAUCAUGUAAGAUUCUAGGUAGCAGUGAACAUUAUUUUUUUGUGUUUUUUAGGCACACGGUGUCAUCCAUAUUACAAACGCUCGACCCAGAAGCGGUAGCUAGAAGACGAAACCGAGUUAUAGACCGAAGGGCUUACAUUAAUAAAGGGCCAAAUUUUCUAGUUCACAUAGAUGGCUACGAUAAGCUCAAACGAUAUGGGUUUCCAAUUCAUGGAGCAAUUGAUGGGUACUCACGUCGCAUUCUAUGGUUACAUGUAGCAGUUUCGAACAACAACCCAAGCAUUGUAGCAACAUUCUUCCUGAAAUACCUUUGUGAUAUUAAUGCAGUUCCAAGGUGUGUACGUAUGGACGGCGGCACUGAAAAUAUUUUGGUUGAAGACAUCCAGAAGGCAUUCAGGUGGGAGCAUACGGAUGAUAUGGCAGCAGAAAAAAGUGUAAUUAUAGGGUCAUCGCAUUCUAAUCAGCGUAUAGAGCGAUGGUGGCGUUCUGGAAGACAAGGCGGGUGUCAGUCCUGGAUAGAUUUGUUCGCAAGUAUGGAAAGUGAAGGAAUUUUCUCAACUGGUGACCCUUUACACGU